GGAAGAAGAAAGGGAAAAAAAGGUACAGGACCUGUUCGACUUGUUUACUUAUGUGAGUUACACGAGCCAAGGGGUUGGGUCAGAAUCUGGGGAUUGUGCCAUUUGCCUGGGGGAUUUCAUGGAACGUACGCAAAAUGUCCUGUUUUGAAGACGGCUACGUAAAGAGCAAGUCCAAUCAUAUGUUGACAAAAACAUUCUUUCCAGAGCAUAGACUAAUUCAGUUUGCAGAUGCUAGACCAGAUCCCAAUUAGGCCCAGUCCUAGAUGGCACCGCCGUGUAUUUUGUGGUUUACAUGCUCAACCAGGGCUCUAAGAUCGCAACGUAAAUUCCAAUAUAUGAAGCAAAUAAAGAACAACUACUUUGUCUUGCUUCAAAUUGAUGUAUUAUGUAUAGAAUUCAGAAGCAAAGUUAGUUCGGUUCUUGUUG